rnacentral:rRNA from 1 species
CCCGCACAAGCGGUGGAGCAUGUGGUUUAAUUCGAUGAUACGCGAGGAACCUUACCUGGGCUCAAAUGUAUGUUGACGUAUUCUGAAAGGGAUACUUCUUCGGACAAUAUACGAGGUGCUGCAUGGUUGUCGUCAGCUCGUGCCGUGAGGUGUCGGGUUAAGUCCCAUAACGAGCGCAACCCCUACCUUUAGUUGCCAUCAGGUAAUGCUGGGGACUCUAAAGGAACUGCCUACGCAAGUAGUGAGGAAGGCGGGGAUGACGUCAAAUCAGCACGGCCCUUACGUCCAGGGCUACACACGUGCUACAAUGGCCGAUACAGAGGGCAGCUACCUGGUGACAGGAUGCAGAUCUCCAAAGUCGGUCUCAGUUCGGAUCGGAGUCUGCAACCCGACUCCGUGAAGUUGGAUUCGCUAGUAAUCGCGCAUCAGCCAUGGCGCGGUGAAUACGUUCCCGGGCCUU